GACGAACGCUGGCGGCGUGCUUAACACAUGCAAGUCGAACGGUAAGGCCCUUCGGGGUACACGAGUGGCGAACGGGUGAGUAACACGUGGGUGAUCUGCCCUGCACUUCGGGAUAAGCCUGGGAAACUGGGUCUAAUACCGGAUAGGACCACUGCCUGCAUGGGUGGUGGUGGAAAGCUUUUGCGGUGUGGGAUGGGCCCGCGGGCUAUCAGCUUGUUGGUGGGGUGAUGGCAUACCAAGGCGACGACGGGUAGCCGGCCUGAGAGGGUGACCGGCGACACUGGGAUUGAGACAUGGCCCAGACUCCUACGGGAGGCAGCAGUGGUGAAUAUUGCACAAUGGGCGCAAGCCUGAUGCAGCGACGCCGCGUGAGUGAUGACGGCCUUCGGGUUGUAAACCUCUUUCAGCACCGACGAAGCGCAAGUGACGGUAGGUGCAGAAGAAGGACCGGCCAACUACGUGCCAGCCGCCACCGUAA
rnacentral:rRNA from 1 species